rnacentral:lncRNA from 1 species
ACAAAUAUAGAUAUGAAUAUUAUUCAGAUAUAAAAAUUUAUAUUUAUAUUUGUUUUAAACAAAUACGGAUAUAAUUCAAAUACUAAAAGUAUGGAUAUAAGUUGAAUAAUUAAACUCUAUAACUAUAAAAUUAAAGAUAUUAUUAAAUAGAUAAUAAAUCAAGUUGAUAUUAUAUUUAUAUGAUUGUAUAUUUUUUAAAAAAUUAAUAAGUGCUAUAUAAAAUUAUGUAGGAUUGUAAGUACAUUUGGAUAU